rnacentral:tRNA from 1 species
GUUUUAAUAAUUUAAUUAAAAUUUUAGUUUUGUAAACUAAAUAUAAGUCAUAAACUUUUAAAACA